CCGGAUGUCUGUCCUCCGGGUCUCUGGGCCUGGAGGCGGGAGUGUUUCAAAGCACUUCACGCUCCGCGGCCCCACCGGCUGGCUGCGCUGCCCGCUGCGGCCGGCAGGGGUCGUCCACGGACAGGCCUGGAGGAGGCGAGACGGGGGCGGGGCCGGGAACCUGGGCAGGCCAAUAAAGGCUGCGGCGCGCGGCUGCGCGGGACUCGGCCUUCUGGGCGCGCGCGACGUCAGUUUGAGUUCUGUGUUCUCCCCGCCCGUGUCCCGCCCGACCCGCACCCGCGAUGCUGGCGCUGCGCUGCGGCUCCCGCUAGCUCGGCCUGCUCUCCGUCCCGCGCUCCGUGCCGCUGCGCCUCCCCGCGGCCCGCGCCUGCAGCAAGGGCGCCGGCGACCCGUCCUCUUCCUCUUCCUCCGGGAACCCGCUCGUGUACCUGGACGUGGACGCCAACGGAAAGCCGCUCGGCCGCGUGGUGCUGGAGCUGAAGGCAGAUGUCGUCCCAAAGACAGCUGAGAACUUCAGAGACCUGUGCACUGGUGAGAAGGGCUUCGGCUACAAAGGCUCCACCUUCCACAGGGUGAUCCCUUCCUUCAUGUGCUAGGCGGGCGACUUCACCAACCACAACGGCACAGGCGGGAAGUCCAUCUACGGAAGCCGCUUUCCUGACGAGAACUUUACACUGAAGCACGUGGGGCCAGCUGGACUCACACGUAUGGACAGACACAGACACGGACGGGGUCACCGCAUGGGGGCGGAGGAGACCGGACGGCAAGGUUGGCAACAGAGAAGGAUAAGCCCGCUGCCACAGCCCCCAGGGGACCGCUUGGCCAUCUCGCUGAAGGCUGGAACACCCCCAUUUCAGGGUUAGUCGUUGGACUGAGCUACAAUGUAGUGAGGUUGGAUUAAAUAUUCGUUUAGAGUAGAUUCAAGUCUAUUAGAUGCUGGAGGGCUGGUAUAAGGGCUCCGGUUGACAUUUCCAAGUUCAAGGAGCAUGGCCUGGAGGAGGCGUGGCUCAGAUGGCAGAGCUCCCGAGCGGCGAGGCCAGGCUUUGCCCCACUUCUUCUUCCCUCCUGGGGCCCUGCUGAUUGAGAGCCCUCCCACCAAGCCAAGGCGCUGGUGGACCACAGAGGGGCUGGUUAGUCAAAUAAGCUGCUUCUUCCCCUUGCCCACUCCCUGCCCCUCUACAAAAUUAAUAAAACCGUAAUAACAAGAUAAGAAGAAGAAGGUGCAAGAGAAUGGAUUACAAUGCUGUUUGUUAUCCUCAGUGGAAGAGGCACAAAGGGGUCACCAUUCCCUUUUUCACUAUGUAUCGAAUUAUAGCUUCCCUUAAAAAAGGCAAUACUUUCCAAAAUACACAUAUGUAUAAAUACAGGACAAGAACAUAUUAAUAAGUCUAAACACUUGAAUAAUAUGCUGUCUACUUAAUACUGAUAUUUUCAUCCAGGAAAAACAACACAGAAAAACAACAAUAUGGCUUAAAGAAUUGCAAAGAUUUUUUUUCCUCAUCAGAAUUAUGUACCAACUUCAUAUAAUAUUCUAUGUAGACAAUAUUUCCUUCUGAAUGUAGUUCAGUUGCAUAUUUUUACAGACCAAAGCAUAGUAAAAAACAAACAAAAACCAACCAAAAACCCAAUAACGGGAAACAGAAAAGUUCUCACCAUAAAUAUUUUCUUGCAGCUCAACCAGAAGGUUGGCAAAAUACUUCCAGAAAUCUUUGUUUGAUAUUCUCUUGCCCUCCUGAAAGUUCUGAAGUUUUGAAAAUGCCUCUCUUUUUGUUUGUUUUAAUCUCAAAAAUCAAACAAUUAUAUUUUUCUUUUCUUUUCUUUUUUUUUUAAAAAAAGGCCCUCAAAUAUAUACAGACAAAAAAUUACUGUGAAGAUUUUUUCGGGAAAAGCUACCAAAUUCAGUGUUGUGAGAAAAACUGGUAACCAUGCAGAAAUUUUAACAUCUAUGAAUUUUUUUUUCCAAAAUACACACAUAUUUUUUUUAAAAAAGGAAUUCUGUGUCAAGUAUAACUCAAAAUAAAUACAAAUUCACAAGUAGAACUAUUGAAUACUUCAUAUGGGGUAAACACCAUUAUCUCCCAACUAGAUCGCUAGAUCUACCAACUGCAAGCGAUUGUCCCUUUUGAACGUACUAAAACCACACACUUUCCUGUCCCCUGGGCUCCUGGCCCUCUGAGCACUUAAUUCUCAAUGGCACCUGGCCUGCAUGGCAGGGGCUUUGCUGACCACAAGAGAGUUCCCCAGUUCAGCCAGAGCCAAGUCAAGGGGAGUAUGGAGGGUGGGCCUCAAAGCGGGAACCCCAGCCCCCAAGGUGGCUGGCUCUGCACAGAUGGCAGGGCAGUGACUACCUGCUGAACAGCUCACUGGCAAGGUCACUUUGGGGUGAUAUCCCAACUCCCCUUAGCCCGUGCAGGGAAGCCCUGGCCUCCAGUGGUCUGGGGCCUGGGUUAGUUUUAGGGUUUGGGCACCCCCACCUUUGCAGCACAGAUGGCAGGCCCCAGGCAUCCUUGGGCCAAGGUCCCCCAUGGCCGGGUCCCUGGAAGGGUUGGCACAGGCACGCUGCCCACCACUGCGAACAUUCUCUUUAGCAGUGCGGUAGGAUGACUGUCAGUGGCAGCUUCUCCUUGGGGACAGAAGCCUGGGCCGGGACCAACCCCAGCUCACCUCAACACCUUGGAGAAGACGGGGAACAACAUGCUCGGGGAGUCCUCAGUGGCAGUCCCCAGUGGUGGCAAGGGUGUCCACAGCCUGCUGCCUGGCCUGGAGCAAAUACCUUUUUUAAGUGCUCGGAGGGUAUGGCCCCUCAAAUCCACCCUGCAGCUCCCUGGCUGCAAAUACACUCACUCCAUCUUUUCAACUCGCUCCCUGGACCCCUGGUUAACACUUCACCGUAACUCCUCAGUUGUACAAAGCAUUUUCAUUUGAAUACAAAAGGCAACUGGACACCAGAUGGGCAUCCUUGAGCCAUGGUAAACACUGAAUUUCAGGCCCAUUUCUUGGUCUGAUUUUUUUUUUUUUCCCACAGAGGCAUAAUGUAGGGGCAAAAUCAAGAGACCCAGUUCUGACAGCCGGGAGAAAGGAAGGGUCAAGACCAUGGAAACGGGGCUUCUCAUCCGGGAGACAGAGGAGCGCACGAUCCCGCCGCCAGCCAGGACAGUGGGCUCCCUGGCCAGGGACGUGCCACGAGGCCUCUCUGCUCCUUUGGGAGGUAGGAAAUUAUUGUCUCCAUUUUAGAAAAGAGGGGUUCUGUGGCUUGUCUCAGGGUUCUCCAUGUCAGGGGCUAGGAGACCGAGGUGAGAAGGAGGGGGCUCCUCCAUGUUUGCAGGGGUGGGGGAUGAAAAGCAGGGCUGGGGCUGCAGGGGCCAGCAGGGGAGGACUCAGCAUCCCUCAGCUUGACUUCCUCAGACACCAAGUGAAGGGUCACGAUGCGGGGUACCUGGCACCUGGGAGGUUUCUCCCACCAUUCUGGGUGAAACUCCCCAAAUAAAGCUCCAGGACACAGCACCGGCCAGCCUGAAUCCCGGAACAACAGAGCUGAAAUGGGCCCUCUGCUCUCUAGUGUUAUGCUGUCAUUUAACUAAUGGGGGAACUGAGGCCUGGAGAUGCGAAGUCCUUGCCCAAGGUGACACAAUGCAUCGGCAGCAGGGCAAAGACUUGAGCCGAGGUCUCCAGAACACCAGGCUUGUGUCCUUUCUGCUAGAACAGACACGCUGGGCUUCCACACUGGGCCCAGCUAUCUUGAUGUGGACCCCCAGAGUGGGUGGGAGGCAGAGGGGAAGGACAGGGAGUGGGGCUGACAAAACCUAAGGCAGUCUGGUGGGGGUCGUGGGAGGGGCUACCCCACGUUCCCCAAGACGCAUCUGUCCAGCAUUCUGUGCCUCCCCUAUGCCUAACCCCUCCUAUCUGGGUCCAUAGGGUGGGGAGGGGGGCACACCCAGGUGCAAUGCCAGUGAUGUCAGAAGGGGUCGUUGGAGGGGCUGCCCCACGUUCCCCAGGACGCAUCUGUCCAGCAUUCUGUGCCUCCCCUAUGCCUAACCCCUCCUAUCUGGGUCCAUAGGGUGGGGAGGGGGGCACACCUAGGUGCAAUGCCAGUGAUGUCAGAGGGGGUCCGGAUUUGGGGCUUAAGGUGGGCAAGGGACAGAGAGGUCCACUCCCCAGCAGCUGUUGGAACACAUGUCCCCUUGCCACGAUUGCUGACUCAGGAAAGAGGGAUUUCCGAGAGUGGCUUUCCAUACAGGGCAAACCGGAAGGUUCUGGGUGGGGGCAGGCGGCCUGGCUGGUCUGGGGAGGUUUGGGAUUCACAGUAAAUUUAGUGCACCUGUGGCCAAUACAAGGCUGCUCACCCCAAAGAGGCUCUCAGAGGAGAGCCUGUGGGGACACCCAGGGCUCCUGGACAUGGGCUUUUGCUUGCCUUUGUCCCCUCCACUGAGACCCCAGGCCCGCCUGCAAAAAGCCCCAGACUCCCUGCUUUCCCUGGCCUGUGGGGGGCAGCAAUGUCAGUAACACUGUUUGUCAACACACACAAGACAAGGACGCUAAGAGCCCCCGGCCCAGCCCCGCAGGCCUGCGAGGACACCCCAUGCACAGGGCGACACGCAGCCCCUCGGAGUAGCACAGGGAAGCAGCGUCUCCUCGGGCUGGCAGGGGGUGGCUCUGGGUGCGGGCGGGCAGCCCGUCACUGCACGCGACGGCAGUAGUAGCCCAGGACCUUGCACUUCUCGCAGAGGUGCUGCGGGUGCUCCUUGCUUUGGUCGGACACAUCCAGGCCAUCGGGCUUCUCCAGGGGUCUCUGCAGAGAGAAGGAGGAAGGGGCCCAGGGGAGUGAGGGGAGAGAAAGACAGAAACACAGAGACAGACAGGGAGAGACACACAGAGACAGUCAGGUGAGACAGGUACACAGGGAGGGGACCAAACAGAGAGGCACACCUCUACAGAGACAGAGACUGACAGACACAGUGAGGGAGAGACACACACCCGAUGAGGGGUGGGGAGAGGGCGCCUGUGGUCACAGGUGGUUUCAGCCACGGUGCCGGGGCCCUCCUGCUGAGCCCGCAUGCAGGCGUCUGAGUCCUGGGGCACACAGGUGGGGCCCUAGGCUGGGCCAGGGCUGUGGAGGGGCCUUGUACCUGGCACCCUGGCCAUGUGCACUGCUCUGCUCUGCCCUGAGUGCUGCCUGAGGAGCCAGCACCUGAAGUUCAGGUGAGUCCAGGUUAGAGGCAGGACACGGGUGCAGCCUGUCAGAUGAGGAAACCCAGGCCCACAGCAACGGAGGCCUGGACCCACAUCUCCCGACCCCAGUAUCCGGCGCCUCUUCCCUGGCCACUCUCCACUCGCAGCCCUGCUUGUGUGGCCUCAGAACUCAAGGGAAGCCUAACCUGGACACAGUCACAGUGCUUCGGGCUUGUGGGGACUGGGAGGAUCCAGAGAGACGUCUGGGAGUGUGUGAACUGGACAGCGGAAGGCACAGACGAGCACAUUUCUAUUAGAGAGGGAGCUUCCCUGCUCGCUCUUUUCCUCCCCUCCUGACUCUCCAAAGCUGGCAAAGACUUGUUUCCCUGGAGAAUUUAUGGAGGCCAUGAGGAACAGCUCCUGAGUGGAUGCUUUCUUGGCCAGCUCACGGGGAUGCUGCCUUCUGUUCAGCUGGAGCCCCUGCCUGCAGAAGGGUCCCCUGCAUGGACAUGGGGGGCUCACAGGAAGCUGGUCAGGGCCAGCCGGGGGCCACAUGCCCAGGAGAGGGGGCAGGAGAACCUGGACUGCAGACCAUGGCCCGGGAUGACAGGGGAGGGCAGCAGAGGGUGUGCUCUGUCCCCCUGGCAAGGCUGUGAAUGGCUCAAAAGUAGUAUACUGGCUUCUCCACCCAAUCCAUAGUCUUGGCCCCAAGAGGACACUCAGAGCGGUCUGGGAAUGGAAGAGUCAGAAGUUUCUAGAAGGCAGGUGGGGAGACUGUGGUGGGAGGGUUCUGAUCCAGGGACCACCCUUCUGCCCCUGGCCCAGGGGUCAUAAAACCCAUCCCUGUGCUCCCAGGCUUAAAGUCACAAAGCCAAGGCCUGGAGGGAAAGACAGGCACGUUAACCACAUCACAAGAGGCUUUCAGGUGACUGGCUUCCCUGUCCAGCUUUCGUCCUGGCCAGGGAAGAGAGGAGUUGGACUUCCUGUCAGACCUGGGCUCGAAUGCCGGCUCUGCUACCUAAGAGCUGUGUGACCUUGGGCAGGCCACCUGCCCCUCUGGUCUCCAUGCUCCCAUCUGUGAACAGGGAUGCAUGCUGAUAACAGCUUUCUCAUGGGCUUGUUCUCACCAGACAACUCAAUGGAAAUAAUGAAUACAAACAGCCCGGCAUGCAGAAGCUGUCUGUGGUUUGUCUUAUUUGUGGGAGGGGGACACCAGCUGGUGGAGGGCUAUCAAAAUUGAGCCAGGAUCCCAAGGUGAAAGGACCUAGGAAGGACACGUUCCCUGCUUUCCUGGACGUCCCAGGGAGACCUCCAACAGCUCCUCCAUCUGGGGCUUGGGUGCCCUCAGGGCUGGAGAGCUGCCUGCUGGCAGAGCCCACCGCUCAGUUUACUGCCUGCACUGUAAGAAGACUUCCCACCUUGAGUUAGAAUCUGGGUCCCUGUCACCUCAUCCUGGAGAUCCCAGCCACACAGACUCUGCUUGGCUCCCAAAGGACAGUCCGAUCAGUACAGUCGUGAAGUGUCCCUUCCAGCACACCAAAACAAAGCUGGUUUGCAGCCCCCACCCCCUUGACUGGCCAGGGCCUCUUCCUGGACCCAGUCUUCCAGGACAGGCCAGAAAGGCCAGACUCAGCAGGCCCCACACAACCCUCACUCCCCAUGGCUUACACAUUAUGUGGCAAAGUACUGCCACCUAAGUCAGGCCACCUAAUGUCACCACCUCCCUGUGAGUGGCACAGGGAGGAAACAGGUCACAGAUGUAUGGGGAAGGGAGUUUCCACAGAUGAGGCAACUGAGGCUCCAAGACGUUAGGGACAUCCCUGGGGCCUGCAGUGAGGAGGUGGUAGGUAGGGUGGCUGGAAAGCCACACAUGCUCU